AGAGUUUGAUCCUGGCUCAGAUUGAACGCUGGCGGCAUGCCUAACACAUGCAAGUCGAACGAGAACGGCUUCAGCAAUGGGGCCUAGUAAAGUGGCGUACGGGUGAGUAACACGUGGAUCAUCUACCCUCCUGUGGGGGAUAACCCGGGGAAACCUGGGCUAAUACCGCAUAAUAUCGCAAGAUCAAAGGAGCAAUUCGCUGGAGGAUGAGACCGCGGCUGAUUAGCUAGUUGGCGGGGUAAAAGCCCACCAAGGCAAUGAUCGGUAGCCGGUCUGAGAGGACGCACGGCCACACUGGAACUGAAACACGGUCCAGACUCCUACGGGAGGCAGCAGUGGGGAAUCUUGCACAAUGGGGGAAACCCUGAUGCAGCGACGCCGCGUGGGUGAUGAAGCUCUUCGGAGUGUAAAGCCCUUUCGGCAGGGAAGAGUAAAGACGGUACCUGCAAAAGAAGCCCCGGCUAACUACGUGCCAGCAGCCGCGGUAAUACGUAGGGGGCUAGCGUUGUUCGGAAUUACUGGGCGUAAAGAGAGCGUAGGUGGUGCGGUGUGUUUGGUGUGAAAUCUCCCGGCUCAACCGGGAGGGGCCAUCGAAAACUGCCGUGCUUGAAUAUGGGAGAGGGUAGUGGAAUUCCCGGUGUAGCGGUGAAAUGCGUAGAGAUCGGGAGGAACACCAGCGACGAAGGUGGCUACCUGGACCAUUAUUGACACUGAGGCUCGAAAGCUAGGGGAGCAAACAGGAUUAGAUACCCUAGUAGUCC
rnacentral:rRNA from 1 species